UACAGAGGUCCCAAGCGUUGUUCGGAUUCACUGGGCGUAAAGGGUGCGUAGGUGGCCGGGUAAGUUUGAUGUGAAAGCUCGGAGCUCAACUCCGAAAUGGCAUUGAAUACUAUCCGGCUUGAGGGUCGGAGGGGAGACUGGAAUUCUCGGUGUAGCAGUGAAAUGCGUAGAUAUCGAGAGGAACACCAGUGGCGAAGGCGAGUCUCUGGACGACACCUGACACUGAGGCACGAAAGCUAGGGGAGCAAACAGGAUUAGAAACCCCAGUAGUCC
rnacentral:rRNA from 1 species